CGUACACUCCUGCGGGAGGCAGCAGUGGGGAAUUUUGGACAAUGGGCGAAAGCCUGAUCCAGCAAUGCCGCGUGCAGGAUGAAGGCCUUCGGGUUGUAAACUGCUUUUGUACGGAACGAAAAAGCUCCUUCUAAUACAGGGGGCCCAUGACGGUACCGUAAGAAUAAGCACCGGCUAACUACGUGCCAGCAGCCGCGAUAAUACGUAGGGUGCGAGCGUUAAUCGGAAUUACUGGGCGUAAAGCGUGCGCAGGCGGUUAUGUAAGACAGAUGUGAAAUCCCCGGGCUCAACCUGGGAACUGCAUUUGUGACUGCAUGGCUAGAGUACGGUAGAGGGGGAUGGAAUUCCGCGUGUAGCAGUGAAAUGCGUAGAUAUGCGGAGGAACACCGAUGGCGAAGGCAAUCCCCUGGACCUGUACUGACGCUCAUGCACGAAAGCGUGGGGAGCAAACAGGAUUAGAAACCCUAGCCC
rnacentral:rRNA from 1 species